GUAGGUGGCAAGCGUUGUCCGGAAUUAUUGGGCGUAAAGCGCGCGCAGGCGGUUCUUUAAGUCUGAUGUGAAAGCCCACGGCUCAACCGUGGAGGGUCAUUGGAAACUGGGGAACUUGAGUACAGAAGAGGAAAGCGGAAUUCCACGUGUAGCGGUGAAAUGCGUAGAGAUGUGGAGGAACACCAGUGGCGAAGGCGGCUUUCUGGUCUGUAACUGACGCUGAGGCGCGAAAGCGUGGGGAGCAAACAGGAUUAGAUACCCUGGUAGUCCACGCCGUAAACGAUGAGUGCUAAGUGUUAGGGGGUUUCCCGCCCCCUUAGUGCUGCAGCUAACGCAUUAAGCACUCCGCCUGGGGAGUACGGCCGCAAGGCCG
rnacentral:rRNA from 1 species